rnacentral:rRNA from 1 species
GGCCUACGGGGGGCAGCAGUAGGGAAUUUUCGUCAAUGGGCGCAAGCCUGAACGAGCAAUGCCGCGUGAACGAGGAAGGUCUUCGGAUCGUAAAGUUCUGUUGAAGGGGAAAAAGAGCGGAGAGAGGAAAUGCUUUCUGAUUGAUAUUACCCUUCGAGGAAGUCACGGCUAACUACGUGCCAGCAGCCGCGGUAAUACGUAGGUGGCGAGCGUUAUCCGGAAUGAUUGGGCGUAAAGGGAGCGUAGGCGGCCUGAUAAGUCUGGAGUGAAAGGUACCGGCUCAACCGGUACAGGCUCUGGAAACU